GCAGUGCUCCCUAGACGCCUAGGUAGCUGCGCGGCCCGUCCGGCAGUGUCUGAUGGUAGGGGCAGAUGGUGGAGACAGGUGGGUUCUAGGUGCGUUAGGAAGGUGUAUAGACCUGGGGCUCAGGUGUGGGAAGGGGCCAGCGAGUGAGAGAAGCUCGGCCUGGGGAAGAGGCUCUGAGAGGAUGGGCAUCCCAGGAGUGAGAGUUUCGAGAUUUCUUCGGGAAAGACGGGGUUUUGGGAAAUGUGCUGUGGUGCUGUCUGUAUGUCACACGAUCUGCGAGGAGCUGCGAGAUUAAAGGGGACGUGCGUAUAUCGAGCCCCUCAUUCAUUCGUUCAGAAAAUGGUUAUUUUUUAAGCAUCCAGCUUCCGCUGCGUACCGUUCUAGGCGCUGAGAAUCAGCUCUGAACAUGACAGACAAGGCUCCUGUUCUCAUGGAGCUUAAUUCUGGUGGAGGGACGACAGACACUAACCAAAAGAGUGGCUAAGAAGGAACACACAAGCGGAGACUCCUUCUAGUGAACUCAGCCUCCAACUCUGUGUAACUUAGGUCUGUCCGUGCCCUCUAACCAAAUCCCACCAGGAAGACACGGAUCGUUGAACAAGCUGGGUUUAUUACUAGUUGCAGUGACUGAGAACACACAUUGAGGAACGAUAGGGCCUCUCGGUAAGAGUUGUUAGUGAUUUGGGAGAGGGUUUAAGGAAGUGAGAGCUUCACUGGAUUAGAUACUGUCAGGAAGAGAGGGUCGUUCCAUGAUUGAGCAUCUCAGUUCAUCUUAUCUAGAGGAAGGGAAUUCUAGAUUGAGGCUAAAGCUGUGCAGAUAAAGAAACAGCAGCCUGGCCGGGCGCAGUGGCUCACGCCUGUAAUCCCAGCACUUUGGUAAACCGAGGCAGGCGAAUUGCUUGAGCGCAGGAGUUCCAGACCAGCCUGGGCAACAUGGCGAAACUCUUCUCUACAAAAAAUACAAAAAUGAACCGGGCCUGGUGGUGCGCGCCUGUCAUCUCAGUUACUUGGGAGGCAGAGGUGGGACGAUCGCUUGAGCCCAGGAAGUGGAGGUUUCAGUGAAUGGAGAUCGCACCACUCCACUGUACCCUGAGUGAUAGAGCCAGACCUUGUCUCAAAAACGAAAAAAAAAAAAAAAAGUGCAGCAGCAGCUCCCUCAUAUUAGCCAAGUGGGGAUGUUGAGUCAUUUUUUGUGGUUUGGACAAUCAUCAGGUUUUAUCUUUUUAUCGUGUUUAGACCUGAUUAUAGAGUGGUCUUGUAUUUGUCUGGAUCUAUCAUGGUCACAGAAUGACCUCGUCUGAUGUUGAUGUUCUUUGGAAUUGUUUUUGUUCUACAGGAAAACACAAAGCCUAGCUAUAAGGGCCAGGCUGUGGUCUAGUAACAUCAUGGCAUGGCUGAUUGUACCAGGCCAGCUUCCAGAUAUCAGAGGCUGCUUUUCACUUUCUCAAAGUGUUUUUGCAUUCUCUGCACCUAUAAAGUCAAAGAGGCUGGAUGACCUAGAAAUCUUUCCAUUACCAAGGACCAAGUUACAGUAAUUUGCAUGCAUUCAGGACACAGUAUAAGUUCCCUGCAGGUAGACUUUGAAGUUUCAUAGUCCUUACCUGGUGCUUUUCACCAAGGGAAUUGAAAGAAAAGCAAUAGGAAGAGCACAGAAUUGGAAAGUUCUUACCACUGUCAUGCUAUCUGAAUUUCACCAGGUCCGUUCCACUAUGGCCCUUAGGACAUUCAUUAGUAAAACAAAGGGAUUAGAUAUGACCUCUAUUUCAGUUACCUGUUGCAACACAACAAACCUCCGAAGACUUAGUAGCUUAGAAUAACAAUGGUUUAUUAUGAUUUUACAAUUGUGUGGGCUGACCCGGGCUCAGCCGGGGCCCACAUGCAAUCAGCUGGGAACUCAUUCAAAAUGACUUUUCAUCUUCUAGGGCCUCUCCUCCCUGUGGCUUUUUAUCAUUCAAACGUCUGCAUAGUGACUUGAGAAAGGACAAGCCCCAGUGAACAAAUGCUUAUCAAACCUCUGGUAUGCACCACACUUGGUAAUGUCCCGUUGGCCAAAACUAGUAGUAUGGCCACACCCAUAGUCAGUGUGGGAAAGGAUUGUACAGGGGCAUAAAAACAGGCAUGGGGUAGGAGUCACAAGCUGGAUGUGACCCUCCCCCCGCCGACCCGGCACAUACAUAUGUUUGUCCUAUACCGUCUUUUUUACUGUUUUUAAAAUUUGAUGUUCAGGUUUUCAAAAUCUGAAUUUCCAGCUUUUCUUGAAAAAUUAGAAUAUCUGACAAUUAGAUCUACAUGGCAACAAUAUGCAGGGGUUAAAUAGCAACUACCUUUAUUUAAGCAUAUAUUCUAUGGUUUUCCACAGUUGCCAUCACUCCUUUUUGCCUUGUAUCUGCAUGCUUCACUCAUUUAAGUUGCAUCCCUAACCUGUAUAGAUAUUUGAGUUUGCAUCCCCUGGCAUUGGAACUGUAGUGGAGAUAAAUCAAGGUUUCUGUCCUUUUAUUAAAAUCGUAUACCUGGGAGCAUAGGGAGGGGCUACCAUCUCUGUGGCUGCACCAUGAUCUACAAAAAAAAAAAAAGAAAAUUGUAUGCUGCCUUAAAAGGAAAAAAGUACUAAUAUUAUUAGGUCAAAUUCCAGGAGCUCAGUGGGGUUAAAAGCUCAUACAUAGGAAUUAGCCAAGUAUGAUGGCUCACGCUUGUGGCUGCAACUACUCAGGAGGCUGAGGUGGGAGGAUCACUUGAGCCUGAGAGGUCAAGGGUGCAGUGAGCCAUGAUUGCACCACUGUAUUCCAGCCUGGGUGACAGAAUGACCAGCUUGGGUACCAGACCAGCUUGGGUGACAGAACAAGACCCUGUCUCAAAACAACAACAAUAAAUAAAUAAAUAAACACUAUAUAUAUGAUAAAAGAAGUCUUAUCCAAGCUACGUAAGAGGCAAGCUGAGCCAAGGCUUUAUCACCUUGCUCUCACCUCUUCUCAAACAAGAACUCAGGUGCUCUUAUUGCUUCAGGCUUGAUGGCAGCUGUUGAUUAGAUUUGGUCAUAGACAAAGGCAGAACACCCUGAGGCAUAUUUUCCCACCGUGUUUCAGAUAGCUCUUCACUGAGGUUUGCAAGACAUGAUCAUAACAAAGUGGUACAGGUCGUGAUUCCCCUGAGGUCCAGUUCAGAACCCAGAAUUGCUUAGAUUGUACAAAGGCACAAUGGUGCAUUACAUAAACUGUACAAUGUAACACUCCUUCUGGGGUCUCAGGACAGCACUCCGUAAUCAAAUACCUUCUUCUGCAGCAGAACAUGUAUGUGCCUGCCAUCAAUUUAUAACCUCAUAGCUCCAAAUCUAACCUUCUUUUCUAUGCUUUGAAAUACUGGAGCAGGAUCCUGUAAAUACUUCUCUGCCAGCUGGCACAGUGUUUAACUUUGUCAGUAGAGAGCACUAGAGGAACACAGCAGAAUGAAGGGGCUUCUCAUCCUGGUUCCAGUGUACUUUCUUUUCCUUCUUGCUUUGUGGCACAUGGCAGCAAAUGGCUUAUAGAACCAUCCCUUCCUCCCCACACACAAAGGGGGCUGGGACAUUCAGAGGGUGGUGGCUUCCCGGUGAGUUUAGUGGCACCUCAGUAGGCA
rnacentral:lncRNA from 1 species